GGUGGCUCAUUCCAUCAGGGGGCGGUGCAGCUGUUUCUUCAUUUGAAUAAAUUGGAAACGCUGUCUACCGCUAGGUGACUCACUACACUAGCAGUUAGUGGCGCAAAAAAGUAAUCGUCUGCUGCUGUACCGUGGUGUAGGCGAGUCUAGGCUUAUAACACAUUUCACGUGAAAUCUUGAAUGAAUCCAAUAAGAAGUAACCUAUUCGAAUGGCUAUAAUAGAAGUUCUCUAUUGUUUUUCCAUGAAGUCUGAGUUGGCAAAGUUCUAAUGCACAAUUGCACGUGGUUUGAUCCUCCUUAUCAACGAAGCUGUUUGUGUGAUUGCUGUUUUAAUUUGUAGAGGUAUUCUCAUCAUCUCUCGGAGCCGACAAUCCAACGUCAGUCAACUCUUUCUCGACUUUCCUUUUUGACUGUGUCCUCGUGUACAUUCAUGCGAAGAUGGAAUAUUUCUCACGUUACCAGUGCUCCUUCGUCAAACUAUUUCUACAACUUCAAGUUAUAACUAAUUCGUCGCCAUUAAAUGAAAAUUUCGAGAAAAGGCUAUUGUCAAUUACAUUUCCAGCUUUGGGCGGUCUGUAUCAAUUUUUUCUAUUGUUUUGGAGGCCCUGAUAGAUAGAUCUUCUGCAGCCAUUAGCUAAGCUUGAUUCUAAAUUGUUUCGGGUCGAUGACGUAGUACUAAAAACUAAAAAUGACUUUAUAUGACACUGUUUAAACUAGUACAGCUGUGAUUUGUUUGACAAUCUAUUCGAAACAUUAUUCUUGACAUUAAUACAUUUCUUCUCCUUUCAGAUGGUUCCAAAUGAUUUCAAGAAAAAGUGUUGCGAAACCAACCACCUCCUUCCAGUCUUGUUCAGCCAGAAAACGUCCGAUUGCUGGAAAUGACUCGAGUCUCCU